rnacentral:rRNA from 1 species
CGAAAUUCCUUGUCAGGUAAGUUCUGACCUGCACGAAUGGCGUAACGACUUGGGCACUGUCUCGACCAGGGACUCGGCGAAAUUGCAAUACGAGUAAAGAUGCUCGUUACCCGCGGAAGGACGGAAAGACCCCGGGACCUUUACUGCAGCUUGAUGUUGGGUUCUGGCAUGUGUUGCGUAGGAUAGGUGGGAGGCGUCGAAGCGGAGCUUCCGGGCUUCGUGGAGCCAACCUUGAAAUACCACCCUUCACUAGUUGGGACUCUAACCCAGGCCCGUGAUCCGGGUCGGGGACAGCGUCUGGUGGGCAGUUUAACUGGGGCGGUUGCCUCCUAAAAUGUAACGGAGGCGCCCAAAGGUUCCCUCAGCCUGGUUGGCAAUCAGGCGUCGAGUGCAAGGGCACAAGGGAGCUUGACUGCGAGAUCGACGGAUCGAGCAGGAGCGAAAGCUGGGCCUAGUGAUCCGACGGCUCCAUGUGGAAGGGCCGUCGCUCAACGGAUAAAAGGUACCCCGGGGAUAACAGGCUGAUCCUACCCAAGAGUCCAUAUCGACGGUAGGGUUUGGCACCUCGAUGUCGGCUCGUCUCAUCCUGGGGCUGGAGCAGGUCCCAAGGGUCGGGCUGUUCGCCCGUUAAAGAGGCACGCGAGCUGGGUUUAGAACGUCGUGAGACAGUUCGGUCCCUAUCCUCCGUGGGCGUAGGAGGCUUGACGGGAGCUGCCCCUAGUACGAGAGGACCGGGGCGGACGAACCUCUAGUGUGCCAGUUGUCGCGCCAGCGGCACGGCUGGUUGGCUACGUUCGGAAGGGAUAAGCGCUGAAAGCAUCUAAGUGCGAAGCCCACCCGGAGAUGAGGCCUCCCACUGGGAGACCAGGUAAGGGCCCUGGAAGACCACCAGGUUGAUAGGCGGGACGUGGAAGCACGGCAACGUGUGGAGCUGACCCGUACUAAUAGCCCGAGGACUUGACCCUAUU